UACGUAGGUGGCGAGCGUUACUCGGAAUUACUAGGCGUAAAGCGCUUGUAGGUGGUUGGAAAAGUCCGUAGUGAAAUUUCACGGCUUAACUGUGAAGGGUCUGCGGAAACUAUCCGGCUUGAGUGUGGUAGGGGGUGACGGAAUUCCUGGUGUAGCGGUGAAAUGCGUAGAUAUCAGGAGGAACACCAAUGGCGAAAGCAGUCACCUGGACCAAUACUGACGCUGAGGAGCGAAAGCUAGGGGAGCAAAC
rnacentral:rRNA from 1 species